GAUCAAAGUGUAUUUAGAAGUUAUCUAAAUACAAGGGUUUCUCAUUAGGAUUAGGAAAUCUAUAAGCCAUAUAUAAGGCAUUGUCGAGAGAUGACAUUAAGGUGCGAGUGUGUGAGGUUUUGAGAGAUUAAAUUUUGAGUAAGUUUCUUAAGCAAUAAGAAGAGUUAGUUCUUAUUAUCUUUGAGUCUUUAUACAACCAUUACACAAUACGAACAAUUUGGUGUUGUGAAUCUGGAAAACAGAAAAAUAU
rnacentral:lncRNA from 1 species